CCGAGUUUACAAACUCCCAACCCUAUGUGAACCUUACCAAUCGUUGCUUCGGCGGGCUUAGCCCCCGCGCCGUCCGCGGCGCCGGGAAACAGGCGCCCGCCGGGGACCCCAAACCCAAUGUUUUCAUGCAGUAUUAUCUGAGUGGCAAACGCAAAAAUAAAUCA
rnacentral:misc_RNA from 1 species